rnacentral:rRNA from 1 species
CUCUCUCUAAGGAACUCGGCAAAAUGACUCCGUAACUUCGGGAGAAGGAGUGCCUUAUUUUUAAGGUUGCAAUAACAAGAUCCAAGCAACUGUUUACCAAAAACACAGGUCUCCGCUAAGUCGUAAGACGAUGUAUGGGGGCUGACGCCUGCCCAGUGCCAGAAGGUUAAGGAAGUUGGUUAGCACUUGCGAAGCUGAUAACUGAAGCCCUGGUGAACGGCGGCCGUAACUAUAACGGUCCUAAGGUAGCGAAAUUCCUUGUCGGGUAAGUUCCGACCCGCACGAAAGGCGUAAUGAUUUGGAUACUGUCUCGGAGAGGGGCUCGGUGAAAUAGACUUGUCUGUGAAGAUGCGGACUACCUGCACCUGGACAGAAAGACCCUAUGAAGCUUUACUGUAACUUGAGAUUGAGAUCGGACUUUAUUUGCGCAGUAUAGGUGGGAGGCGUUGAGAAUAAUCUUGCGGGAUUAUUGGAGCCAUCAGUGAGAUACCACUCUUGUAAUGUUAGAUUUCUAACUUUGGAUCAUUAUCUGGUCAAAGAACAGUUUCAGGCGGGCAGUUUGACUGGGGCGGUCGCCUCCCAAACGGUAACGGAGGCGCACAAAGGUUUCCUCUGAACGGGUAGAAAUCGUAUCUAGAGUGUAAAGGCAUAAGGAAGCUUGACUGUGAGACCUACAAGUCGAGCAGGGACGAAAGUCGGUCUUAGUGAUCUGACGGUGCUGAGUGGAAAGGCCGUCACUCAACGGAUAAAAGUUACUCUAAGGAUAACAGGCUGAUCUCCCCCAAGAGUUCACAUCGACGGGGAGGUUUGGCACCUCGAUGUCGGCUCAUCGCAUCCUGGGGCGGUAGUACGUCCCAAGGGUUGGGCUUUCGCCCAUGAAAGCGGUACGCGAGCUGGGUUCAGAACGUCGUGAGACAGUUCGGUCCAUAUCCGGUGUAGGCGUUAGAAUAUUGAGAGGAGCCUUCUCUAGUACGAGAGGACCGAGAAGGACAUACCUCUGGUGUACCAGUUAUCGUGCCAACGGUAAACGCUGGGUAGCUAUGUAUGGAGUGGAUAACCGCUGAAAGCAUCUAAGUGGGAAGCCCACCUCAAGAUAAGUAUUCUCAUCACGUAAGUGAAUAAGGUCACGGUAAGACGAACCGUUUGAUAGGCAUUAAGUGUAAAUCUAGUAAUAGGUGUGCUGAGAUGUACUAACAGACCGAAGACUUGAAUAA